AAAAAUACCAAAUGAUAAAAUAAAAAAGAUUAAAAAUCAUUUUUAGAAACUAGAAUUAAAAAGAGAAAUAAUGCAAUUGGUCCCAUAUUUUUUGUACCAAUAAUAAAAGAGAUAUGAAUUUUUGAAAUAAAAGGAAAUAAAGAAAAUAAAAUCAGAAAUUGGAAAAUAGCAAAAAUCAGGGAGCGUUGGAUGGAUCCUCAUUAAUUGACGUGGAGGAUCUAAUGGUCAUGGCAUGCGCACGCACCAAAGUCCUCAGUCAAUGCAAC
rnacentral:lncRNA from 1 species